CUGACUAUGAGAUUAACUGUAUACUUGUGAGCCCAAUUAAUUUCAUGGAAAUAAACAUCAAUUAAUUAACAUGUUGCUCAUUGAAGUCACAAAAGUUAGAUAGAAUGUAGCUAUUUCAUGGAGCUGCAAAUUAUUAUACAAACAAAAGUUGUUUGUUCACUUAACACAUACACAAAACCCUUAAAGCUAAUCAAAUAUUAACCACUGCUCAAGCCAACCCUUUCCCUUUUGUGCAUGCGUUCGCAAUGCCUUUUCCCUUGUGGGUAGUCACAUUCACAGAAAUACCUAUUUUUUCUUCGUCGUUUGAUCAAACUUGAGAUUGGAACAUAUGGAUGAUAUUGUCAGAUGUUUCAUUUGCCACUUCUUCAGCCUUGGUAAUGCUAACGGUACUCGAUUCACCAAUUGCUUUUCAUUUUUCGCACCACUCCCAAAAUCUGUACUUAAUACUGCAACAUUUGAAAAAUUUGCCUUUGUCAGCAGUCUCUCUUUCAACCACAAAAACUUCUAAAACCCAUUGGUACACUGUGGGCAUCGACAUUUUAUUGGGCAAUUGACGAAGAAGUGUCUCUUUCUCUUGCAUUCGCGACAUACUUCAGAAUUCUUACCCACCAUCUUGAAAACGCAAGCACAUAGAGAAUUAUGAAUGAGCAUACCAUAAGAAAUGAAAAUCAUAGAACUUUUUAGCAGUAAAUAACUAAAGUGUACCACUAUCAGCCACUCCUUUCACAAUAAAUGAAUGAUACGAAAAAAAAGAAGAGAAAAACACGACAACAUCAGCUACUCUAUUCAGAAUGCCAACAACUGAAAUACAGGAAACAGUUUUCCUCAAGUUGCAUUAAAAAAACUCAAAAUCAGAUAACAAUAACUAAAAUUCAAGAGAUGGAUAGUAUAAAAAUUGCAAUAGCAUAUACAAGCAUUUAUAUUCCUAAAAAAAUUAAGAGAUAGGCUAAUGCAUGAAUAAAUUGAAAAAAAAGAUUACUGAAAGAACAAAUAGCUCACAAUAGCACUUUGAUUUACAUAAUGCUGUAGAUAAAUCACUAAUUAAACCACAUACUUGUCUUCUGAGUCGUAAUAUCGUGUAUGAAGUAGGAUUUGAUGGACGCUUGAGCUAGGUCUUCAUUGUUUCGCGAUGGCUGAACUAUUGAGACCGUAAUGGCCUUGACGAACAGUCAAAUAUGGGCGAUCGACCGGAAAGGAAGAGUACUGUUGGAAGUAAAACUUAACAGUCGGUAAGUGACAUGGUGCUUCAAAAUUCAAGAUUUCGCAGGAAAGGAUGUCAUCGGUUUGGAGGGUUUGAAAAUGGGGAAUAUCAGAGGAGAGAUAGGGC
rnacentral:lncRNA from 1 species